AAACCUGAGAAACCCGAAAGUUCGAAUGAAAAGAUUCAAUAUUCUUCAAUUGGUUGUACAUUUACUUAUGUGAUUAUGUGAUAGUUUUGUGUUAAUUUCUUUAUCCUUUACUGGAUUUUGAAUGUACAUAUAUUCUACACCACUUUGUUUAUGAACUAAAUACAACUAUGAAGGUAUGCACUUCUUUUCUAGUAGGACGUUGCGACCCAUUGAAUGUUAAUCUACGGCUACUCGUUAGAGCCUAUUCCUAUUUUACUUAAUUGUAUUUAUGGGAAAUAGAUUUCUGAGUGUGUCCCGAAUAACUGUUCGAUGGUAUUUAUAAAACUAUAAUAUUGGAUCGCCACUUUGUCUGGGCAUUUGGUAUUCAUUCAAGUAUGUAAGGUAAUUUGAAUGUCAGGGGCUCUUGUACUGGCUUUGAAUCCUAACUACUGUUCGAGUGAAAUUUACUAUCAAAUAGUAUCCUUUUAUUGGUCAGCAACGCUGUUGCUUUGGGUACUUUCAGGAC
rnacentral:rRNA from 1 species